rnacentral:rRNA from 1 species
UACAGAGGGGGCUAGCGUUGUUCGGAAUUACUGGGCGUAAAGGGCGCGUAGGCGGCCACCGCAAGUCGAUUGUGAAAUCUCCGGGCUUAACCCGGAAAGGUCAACCGAUACUGCGGGGCUAGAGUGCAGAAGGGGCAACUGGAAUUCUCGGUGUAGCGGUGAAAUGCGUAGAUAUCGAGAGGAACACCUGAGGUGAAGGCGGGUUGCUGGGCUGACACUGACGCUGAGGCGCGAAAGCCAGGGGAGCAAACGGG